ACAAGAAGCUGAUUGUCAGUUCUGAUUUCUGAGGCCUUCGCAACAGUUUACCGUUCUCUUUUUAUGCUUAUGUGCCAUAGCGUUUAUGGAGGAAAUUGACCUAGAAGCUAAAGCUCCUGGAAGCUUCUUUGAAUGUUUGAAUGAAACCUAAUUAAUGAAAGAUAAGCUUCUGAGGUACCAAUGAUAGGACACACUGAUAUGAGCAACAUGUAGUUUCUCAAAUUAGUUGUUUUUGCUUGAGUGUUGUUAGAGCCAUAUCAGUUCAAUAGUUAGGUGCGAUUCGCUUCUGAAUUACAGGAUGAGAAUGUGGUAAUAACCAUUGCUUGGAAUUUGUGACCAGUAUAUUAUACAGGAUCUGCAAGAUCUUGAUCACAUAGCUUUGAGACAUGCAUUCAUUCGAUCCGUAGCUAUGAGACAUGCUGAAUAUUUCUAUUGGUAGCAACUUGAUGCUGAUUUCCUCUUGAAUUAUUUCUGACUCUUAUCCUCAUGUUUUCUUCUCCUAACCAGUAACGAGACCUAUUUGCUUUUCUUAUAUAAGGCAAAGCUUGCUUUGGAAAGCCUUGAAGUUCCAGUUGGGUAACAAGACAUGCAGAGAUGGAAGCUCUUGAUGUCCCUCAGGAACAGUGGCAGAUGGCUGGAUUUUCAGCUACAGAAGUUGCAGGGAAGUUUUCAGCAUGCUCCCUUUAUGUGACAUGUGAACCAUGCAUAUGUGUGCAGCAGCAUUAUCGAUCAUUUUAAUGGGAAUUCUGGAUCAAAGGGUUUCAAAUGUUGUGGAGGGAUAAUGGCAUCAGAAGCGGUUUCUCUUCUGUGAGAUUUUUAUGAACAAGGAAACUAUAUUGCUCCAAAGCUUCACAGGCCACGGGUUACUUAGGCUUCUCAUUUGACCUCUGUGCAUUGAUUCUUCCUGUUGAAUCCUCUCGUGCCUUUGUACAACUAGAAUUUCCGCAAGGGGCUUGAGAGAAGAAGCUCGAUUCUUGUCCAGAUCAGUUUUUGCCCGGAUGGUCAUGUGUUCAUUGAGGAUUGCAGCUACAGUCACAAGUUCAUUCCGUGCUUUAACUUGAUUAUUAAAUUGUUAAAAUAAUUUACGGCAUAACCCCUUGUAGGCAUCACUUUUCUGAUGCUAAUUUUUGUCAUC